UUGCAGAAAUUUGCAGCCACGUCACCGCCACAGGUCUAACAAACUUUCCCAGCCCUUUGCGGACAGUUCUGCAGAGGAAUCCCUAUGCAGAAUAUCUAGAAUGAACAUUUAUGAGCAUUUGUAGUGGUUUCCAAAGAACAAGAGGACAUAACAUUGGAGUUAUUUGUGCUUUUUUGUUUUUUAGAGGAGUCUCAUUUUACAUUCGUUAUUGUUUUGACAUCGCCUGAAGACUACUUUGAGGCCUCAUUCUUACAGACUUGCACCAAUAUUUCGGCUCUUUCUUUUUGGAAUACCAAAACAGCGCUAUGAAUAUCUUCCGUCUAGCCGGUGACGUGUCACAUAUCGUUGCUAUCAUCAUUCUAUUAGUGAAGAUAUGGAGGUCCAAAUCCUGUGCUGGUAUUUCUGGGAAGUCUCAGGUGCUUUUUGCGUUAGUCUUCACUACAAGAUACUUGGACCUGUUCACUAGCGUAAUCUCCAUCUACAACACAGUUAUGAAGGUGGUGUUCCUGUCUUUGGCAUAUGCCACUGUGUACCUGAUCUACAUGCGUUUCAGGAGCACCUUCAACUCAGAGAGUGACUCAUUCCGUGUUGAGUUCCUACUUGUGCCUGUGGCUGGGCUUUCCUUCCUGGAAAACUAUGCAUUUGCCCCCCUGGAGGUAAAUGUGCCAGGUUCAAUACUUACUGAACAUACAGAUCCUGUGGACCUUCUCCAUCUACUUGGAGUCAGUGGCCAUCUUGCCCCAGCUCUUCAUGAUCACCAAGACCGGCGAGGCAGAAUCCAUCACCACCCACUACCUGUUCUUCCUGGGUCUCUACCGAGCCCUGUACCUGGCCAACUGGGUGUGGCGCUACCACACCGAGGGCUUCUUUGACCAGAUUGCUGUGGUGUCCGGUGUGGUGCAGACGAUUUUCUACUGUGACUUCUUCUACCUUUACGUUACCAGGGUGCUCAGAGGAAGUGGAAAGAUGUCCCUGCCCAUGCCCAUCUAAAGAGUCAGGGCUGUUUUAAGCGACAGUUGAGCAGUUCAGUAACUGAAAGCACCUCUGCCCUCCAAUCAUACUUAGUAAUGGACUACAGUCUGCAGUGUCACAGUACCCCCUGUAUACCCUGGGGGGUAUAUACUGUACCCAGGGUGCAACCGUCGUGUUGGUACGCUUUUCCCGAGACUAAAAUGACCAAAGAACGUUGUCCUAUGUGUUUGUGCAUGAGUGGGUGGAACUGAAUGUUAAUGAGAAUUGAGUAAAUUGAAUACUGUGGGAAUUUUUAUUUUAUUAUACUUUUUUUCAUGGAAGCAGAUAUUGUCCCGCUUCAAUUAGUCCAAUGGAGUUUGUGCCUUAUUUUUCCUUUUCUAGUAAAUGGCAUAUCUUGAAUGUCUUAUUACAUCAAAAUGGUGUAAACAUUGUGUAUAUGUGAGACAUUUGUUCUGCUUUCCUGUCUUUUCACAAUUUCUACAUAUAACAGUGACCAAACUUCAAGGGUUACAUUGUUUCACCAAGCAGAGUUCAUUGGGAGUCUUGUAUUUAGGCUGCUAUGGGUGAUAUUUGCCAUCCUUGUCAAGAGUUAUGCUAUGUUCUUCCCUUUAUGAAAAUAAGUCCAUGGAGAUGCCAUACAGAACGCACUGUCAUGUAUGUAACUCUUAUAUCUGUCCACUUCUUGACUGAACCAAGGUUCUUCUUAAAUAUGUUGUAUUCUGUACUUUGAUUUUACCAGUCAUUUUCAUUCCUUUAAUAUUAAUGCAUUUCAUUAAGCAAAAUGAAUACACAUUUUUGUGAUGUCACAGUUCAAACAAAAUAUAUGUUGUAUUUGAUGAGGCAUCAACAGUUAUUUCUCACUAACUAGAGUUCAUUCAUAUCUCAACAUUUAUUGACAAAAUUUUGGGACCAGGAUUACAAUGGCAAAGGCAGAUUAACGCUUCAACAAAAUGGAAAGGUACUUACACUAGGUAUCUUGGUACUACUAGAUUUGUAUAUGUGUGCCAAACUUUUACAACUGUGGUGCCCAUGUUGUAAUGAUCAACAUUUUAAUACAAAGAACCUUCAUCAUUUGUAAAUCAGGUCAGUAAAAGGUAUAUUUACUGGUUCA